rnacentral:lncRNA from 1 species
UCGGUCGCAGCCCGCUCGGGCCCGUUCGCGCCCGUCCUGUCGGCCACGUCCCGCGGGGUGGCGGGCGCGCUGCGGCCCUUGGUGCAGGCCACGGUGCCCGCCACCCCGGAGCAGCCUGUGUUGGACCUGAAGCGGCCCUUCCUCAGCCGGGAGUCGCUGAGCGGCCAGGCCGUGCGCCGGCCUUUGGUCGCCUCCGUGGGCCUCAAUGUCCCUGCUUCUGUUUGUUAUUCCCACACAGACGUCAAGGUGCCUGACUUCUCUGAAUACCGCCGCCUUGAAGUUUUAGAUAGUACGAAGUCUUCAAGAGAAAGCACCGAGGCUAGGAAAGGUUUCUCCUAUUUGGUAACUGGAGUAACUACUGUGGGUGUCGCAUAUGCUGCCAAGAAUGCCGUCACCCAGUUCGUUUCCAGCAUGAGUGCUUCUGCUGAUGUGUUGGCCCUGGCGAAAAUCGAAAUCAAGUUAUCCGAUAUUCCAGAAGGCAAGAACAUGGCUUUCAAAUGGAGAGGCAAACCCCUGUUUGUACGUCAUAGAACCCAGAAGGAAAUUAAGCAGGAAGCUGCAGUUGAAUUAUCACAGUUGAGGGACCCACAGCAUGAUCUAGAUCGAGUAAAGAAACCUGAAUGGGUUAUCCUGAUAGGUGUUUGCACUCAUCUUGGUUGUGUACCCAUUGCAAAUGCAGGAGAUUUUGGUGGUUAUUACUGCCCUUGCCAUGGGUCACACUAUGAUGCAUCUGGCAGGAUCAGAUUGGGUCCUGCUACUCUCAACCUUGAAGUCCCCACGUAUGAGUUCACCAGUGACGAUAUGGUGAUUGUUGGUUAGAGACUUGGACUCAAGUCAUAGGCUUCUUUCAGUCUUUAUGUCACCUCAGGAGACUUAUUUGAGAGGAAGCCUUCUGUACUUGAAGUUGAUUUGAAAUAUGUAAGAAUUGAUGAUGUAUUUGCAAACAUUAAUGUGAAAUAAAUUGAAUUUAAUGUUGAAUACUUUCAGGCAUUCACUUAAUAAAGCCACUGUUAAGCACUGUUAUGCUCAGUCAUACACGCGAAAGGUACAACGUCUUUUAGCUAAUUCUAAUUAAAAAUUACAGACUGGUGUACAAGAUACUUGUGAAAUCUGUAACUGACUUUAUUUUCUUGCCCAAAUAUUUGCUUCCUGCUUUGCGUCAGGG